GUGCUCACUUCAGCAGCACAUACUAAAACUGGAAUGAUCAGCCUCUGCUCAAGAAUGACAUGCAAAUCUGUGAAGUGUUCCAUAUUCUC
ensembl:snRNA U6 U6 spliceosomal RNA